rnacentral:rRNA from 1 species
GACCAGACUCCUACGGGAGGCAGCAGUGGGGGAUAUUGGACAAUGGGGGAAACCCUGAUCCAGCGAUGCCGCGUGAGGGAAGAAGGUUUUCGGAUUGUAAACCUCUGUGGACAGGGACGAUAAUGACGGUACCUGUCAAGAAAGCCACGGCUAACUACGUGCCAGCAGCCGCGGUAAUACGUAUGGAGCAAGCGUUAUCCGGAAUUACUGGGUGUAAAGGGAGCGUAGACGGAUGUGCAAGUCUGAUGUGAAAGGCGGGGGCUCAACCCCUGGACUGCAUUGGAAACUGUAAAUCUUGAGUGCCGGAGAGGUAAGCGGAAUUCCUAGUGUAGCGGUGAAAUGCGUAGAUAUUAGGAGGAACACCAGUGGCGAAGGCGGCUUACUGGACGGUAACUGACGUUGAGGCUCGAAAGCGUGGGGAGCAAACAGGAUUAGAUACCCGGGUA